GCAGGCACCUAUAAAGAUUGAAGAGUUUGAUGGUCGUAGAUCAGAACUUGAGACCAUAUACACGAUACUACUUAAAGAAAAUAUGAGUACAACUGGAGCCCCGACACUGUCGGUUUAAAACAGUCUUCAUUCUUUUAAGGAUGCAUCCUCACUCAGUGUACAGUAGGUCAAUGUAUGCAUGAAAAGACCUGUCCAACGCUUCAAAGAAAUGUUUGUUCAUCAUUGGUGCCUCAUCCCAUAUAAUAAGACUCGCCUUUUGGAGCGAUUCUGCUUUAAGCGAUCCCUGACGAAGGUUGCACGUGGAGACUUCAUUUAUUGAGAUGUAUAUUGAGAAUAUGGAAUGAGCAGUUCUCCCUACGGACAACAGUAAAGAAGCUAUCCCACUGGAGGCAACAUUUAAAACAAUUAAAUCUUUAGAUCGCACUGCAACAGACAAUGAGUUCCACACAAAAGUGUCGUUAAUCAGUCGUUUGCUUCGCAAUUCAGACUCUUCUAUUUCAUCUUUGUUUAUUAGUUAUUCAA